GAUGAACGCUGGCGGCGUGCCUAAUACAUGCAAGUCGAGCGAACAGACGAGGAGCUUGCUCCUCUGACGUUAGCGGCGGACGGGUGAGUAACACGUGGAUAACCUACCUAUAAGACUGGGAUAACUUCGGGAAACCGGAGCUAAUACCGGAUAAUAUAUUGAACCGCAUGGUUCAAUAGUGAAAGACGGUUUUGCUGUCACUUAUAGAUGGAUCCGCGCCGCAUUAGCUAGUUGGUAAUGUAACGGCUUACCAAGGCGACGAUGCGUAGCCGACCUGAGAGGGUGAUCGGCCACACUGGAACUGAGACACGGUCCAGACUCCUACGGGAGGCAGCAGUAGGGAAUCUUCCGCAAUGGGCGAAAGCCUGACGGAGCAACGCCGCGUGAGUGAUGAAGGUCUUCGGAUCGUAAAACUCUGUUAUUAGGGAAGAACAAAUGUGUAAGUAACUAUGCACGUCUUGACGGUACCUAAUCAGAAAGCCACGGCUAACUACGUG
rnacentral:rRNA from 1 species